rnacentral:rRNA from 1 species
AGCGAACGUUAGCGGCAGGCUUAACACAUGCAAGUCGAGCGCGAAUGGAGGAGCAAUCCUCCUAGUAGAGCGGCGGACGGGUGAGUAACACGUGGGUAAUCUGCCCUUCGGCGGGGGACAACCAUUCGAAAGGAUGGCUAAUACCGCAUACGUCAGCUUGGUCUGCGGAUCGAGUUGGGAAAGCUAGCUUCCGCAAGGGAGCCGGCACCGAAGGAGGACGCCCGCGUCGCAUCAGCUAGUUGGUGAGGUAAUGGCUCACCAAGGCUUAGACGCGUAGCUGGUCUGAGAGGAUGAUCAGCCACACUGGGACCGAGACACGGCCAGACUCCUACGGGAGGCAGCAGUGGGAAUAUUGGACAAUGGGCGCAAGCCUGAUCCAGCC